rnacentral:tRNA from 1 species
GGAGAGAUGGCAGAGUGGUCGAUUGCGGCGGUCUUGAAAACCGUUGAACUGAAGGGUUCCCGGGGUUCGAAUCCCUGUCUCUCCG